rnacentral:rRNA from 1 species
UACGUAGGGAGCAAGCGUUGUCCGGAAUCAUUGGGCGUAAAGAGCGCGUAGGUGGCUGCAUAAGUCCGUUGUGAAAGUCAAAGGCUCAACCUUUGAAAGCCGAUGGAUACUGUGGAGCUAGAGUACGGAAGAGGCGAGUGGAAUUCCUGGUGUAGCGGUGAAAUGCGCAGAUAUCAGGAGGAACACCAAUGGCGAAGGCAGCUCGCUGGGACGUGACUGACGCUGAGACGCGAAAGCGUGGGGAGCAAACAGG